rnacentral:rRNA from 1 species
UACGUAGGGUGCGAGCGUUAAUCGGAAUUACUGGGCGUAAAGCGUGCGCAGGCGGUUAUGUAAGACAGGUGUGAAAUCCCCGGGCUUAACCUGGGAACUGCAUUUGUGACUGCAUAGCUAGAGUACGGUAGAGGGGGAUGGAAUUCCGCGUGUAGCAGUGAAAUGCGUAGAUAUGUGGAGGAAUACCGAUGGCGAAGGCAGCCUCCUGGGCCAACACUGACGCUCAUGCACGAAAGCGUGGGGAUCAAACAGG